GUAGAAAGUCGUAACAAGGUCUCCGUUGGUGAACCAGCGGAGGGAUCAUUACCGAGUUUACAACUCCCAAACCCAAUGUGAACGUUACCAAACUGUUGCCUCGGCGGGAUCUCUGCCCCGGGUGCGUCGCAGCCCCGGACCAAGGCGCCCGCCGGAGGACCAACCAAAACUCUUUUUGUAUACCCCCUCGCGGGUUUUUUAUAAUCUGAGCCUUCUCGGCGCCUCUCGUAGGCGUUUCGAAAAUGAAUCAAAACUUUCAACAACGGAUCUCUUGGUUCUGGCAUCGAUGAAGAACGCAGCGAAAUGCGAUAAGUAAUGUGAAUUGCAGAAUUCAGUGAAUCAUCGAAUCUUUGAACGCACAUUGCGCCCGCCAGUAUUCUGGCGGGCAUGCCUGUCCGAGCGUCAUUUCAACCCUCGAACCCCUCCGGGGGGUCGGCGUUGGGGAUCGGCCCUGCCUCUUGGCGGUGGCCGUCUCCGAAAUACAGUGGCGGUCUCGCCGCAGCCUCUCCUGCGCAGUAGUUUGCACACUCGCAUCGGGAGCGCGGCGCGUCCACAGCCGUUAAACACCGCAACUUCUGUAAUG
rnacentral:rRNA from 1 species